GAGACAGGGGGCUGGUGACUGGUCUCAGGGACGCUUAUGGAGGAGUUUGGACGAUCUGGCCUGAACCAGGUGACUGCUGGUCACUUUCAUCCUUUCUUGAGGGAUUUUCCACUCCCAAGCCUAAGUUUCACUACUAGCACACAGCUGCCGUGUGCUGAGCUACAGCAGACGUAAACUGAAGUGAAACAAAAAUUUCAACCUGACCUAGCAGGAUAAUAUAGGUUUAGCCAUGUCUCUAACACGGUUUAUAACCUGAGUAGAAAAUAACUUUGUAUCAGCCAAUCAUGCUUCGUCAAAUGAAAAUCAGAGUGAAAAUGAAUCAGAGCCUGAAGAGGUGCUUAAGAUAUCACAGUUACUUGGUCGGUACAGAGAGCUGAGAAAGAAUCCCAGCAGUCCCCGGGAGCUUGAGCAUAAUAUGCUUUUGUAGACCUAUUUAGAGGGAGUAAAGAUACAUUCUUAAGAAGCAAUUACAGUAAGCAGUGAAAACAAGAGGAAGCAGAUGACUGCCCAGUAUGAAGUCCAGCAGGAGCAGGAUCUCUUGGAGGACAGAAAGGAGAGAGUGAAGGAGAGUAAUGAUGCCCUGAAUAUCCACUCAGAGAACUCUCACAGAUCUCAGUCUUCCUUAGGGAUGAGAGAUCACUAUUGUGAUUGCAACUUUGGAAAUUCUAGCCUGAAAAUCCAGAAAGGGAGUAAGUAAAUGAGGAAAAAUAUAAAAUAGGACAUGCCAUGUUUUGCUGUACAUGACUCCCAGAAAAAAAAGCAGAGGCAGGUGUCUGUGCAGUGGAAGGAAGUGCACUGGGAGAGAUGGAAGAGAAGGACAGCAGAGAGGCUCCAUGCAGCACACAGAGUUCUGCAGUACAUCACCCUUUGUGUUACACAUUCACACAUCCUACCCUUCUGUAGAGUCGCAGGGUUGUGGGCUUUGAUUUGGGUUUUGGUUAUUGGUUUUUUUUUGGAGGGGGUGGAGGGUGUGUGGUUUAUCAGACUGAACAGCUGCAGAAAUGUGGUUCUUUUUCAUGUAGGACUAGUUCAACUUCUUGAAAUAUUAAGAAUAUUACAUUAUUACUGCAAGAUUUCAUGGACGAGGAACAAAUUUGAGGCUUAAAGCUAAGAAUAUUUUCUUCCAUCUUGGUUUGCUGAACGGACCAUAAAUGUGACUCCAAUCCUAACAUAAGGAUUUGAGGAUUUUGGGUCGUAAUUGAUACAUCUCCAACCUUGAAACUAUGGUGAAUGUUUAAUAGAAGAAGCGAGAAUAUUUAAGAGCAUUUUACUUUUUAGAGUAACACACUUACUGGAGCAGUCACUCACAUUACUUCUCUAUUAACAUACAGUGUUUUGGGUAGUACUUCUGCAAGGUAAAAUUACUUCUGUAAUAAACAAUUUCAUUCCUUUAUAAAUGCAUGACUAAGUUCUGUAACACUUGUCACUCAGUUUGUGUACAAUCUGUGUACAGGUACAGAGUAAUCUAUUUUCACAGUCCUUUAUGAGUGUCAUCUCAUUGACAGUAGUUUCUUCACACUCUUUUCAUACAGAGACUUUGUUGGUCCCUGGAGCUGUCACUGAAUUGUGUCACCUUACGUGCAUCUUAAACUACCAGGGAGUCACAGGCACAAUAAAUUAAUUAGUCCCUAACAUUAGACUGAAAGAGAAGGUUAUCUGGUCUGGUAUAUUCCUUUAUGUCAAAAUCACAAUGCUUUGUCAAUAAAACAAACAGAUCACAAUACAACAUGAAUCUUAAUGCAUUUUGUAUGCUGGCAUUUUUUUUUUUCAGGCAUUUUUCUAUCAAGGCUAAUUUUCUAGCCCAAAGGCACCUAGAGUGAACUGUUAAGAUAAGGUAAAAUAUCUAGUGCACAAAGCCAGUAACAGUCCUUCAAGCAAUAAAAUGAUUGUAUUAUGCAUUAUAGUGAUUUCCUUAGACACCAUUUUGACACCUAAGUGUUAGGUAGGACCAGUUGUUUGUCACACUGGGUUUAAUCUGGCAUGCUAAUCCUUAGCUUUGUUCUUUUGCUGUUCCCAGUCUUCACCACAUAAUCUCUCUCUAAACAAUCUGAAUUUUUCCCUGUUCUGUCUAUGUAUGCUGAAGAAGAUUUAAACUGUGAUUUAAGUUUUAAGCAUUAAAAGUCAAAAUAAAAAAGCUUGCUCCUAACAUGAAGAUGAAGGAAAGGUCAGCUGAGAAGUCUGAUGGAUGGCUGAUGUGGUCUGACAGUUCGAAUAGGCAUAGGGAUAGGAAAACUCUCAUAGUCACAAUUUGAAGAGAAGAAAUAGUAGGAGGUGAGACACAAGUAUGACUUGGGACAAUAAGUGAGUGGCUGUCUGAGAUGCGAUGCCUUCUCGUUUCUUAGUGGCAGCAAUGGACUGAGAAGUCUCUCUGAGAAGUCUUAAGAAAGCAGUGAGUACUUACUGGAACAAUCUACCUCUCCUUUUCUGAAACGUCACCCCAUGCUCAGUAGGAGAAAAGCAAUGAGUGUAAAAUGCACUGCUGCAACUGUCACAAAGGAAAAAGACCUUAAGAUGAGGAUAAAGCUAUCUACAAAAGUAGAUAGACUUUGAACUAGACACAAAACAUGUCAUCUGUAAGACUUCAGAAGAUAAAAGCUGCUGAUUGUGAAUGAUGCAAAAGAGAACACAAGGAAAGUAUCAGCAUUACCUGUGCCAGCAUCUCUAGUAGUUAAGGACAAUGAGAAAAUAGUUUUGGGGAAUGUGAUGGAAAAACCUUUGCCAAGGAAACAAGAAUGUAAACCCUUUUUUUUUCUGAAUAUUUCAAUGUCUGUUGCUGGUGCUCUUGCUUUUGACAGCUUGCUACAGGCAGGUAGUAGUCUUGGUUUCUUCUGCAUGAUCUAAAAUCUGUAUUUGACAAUAACCACAGACUUGUCAGCACUGUCUACCUUCUAUCUCUUGGCUCCCUGUAGCAUUUUUCAUUUUGCAGACAAACUACAGCUUUUCCUUUCUAAAGCCUUUUAGGAAAGACAAAAGAAGUUCAGUAGCUAGGUGGAGAUCUUGACUUGCCAAGGCUGAAAAGUCAGGUAGUGUUUCUGCUACUUCAGAAAUGAGACAUUCAUCUGCCCAUCGCCUACCUAUUCUUCCUGUAAGGUGGUUGAUAAAAGUCUGCUUUGAAGGCUUCCAUGUCUAUAACAGGUUACUCAUCUUGCAAGUCAUCAGAAGCCCAGCCCAUGAAACUCAAAUGGUGACGAACAGGCCAGUCACAUGUCCAGUCACAUAAGGGAAUAAGCUGGU